GCAUGUGCUCAGGGGUGCACAGAAACGCUGGUUUUAUUGCGGUGCUGCCGCUGGGGAGCCCUGGGCUGCAGCCGGGGCUGUGCGGGGCCAGCGCUGGGGAGCCGGUGAGCUGGUGGACCACAGUGCCGUUUUAAGGCAUUUCCAAUGGAGUUGUGAGACACAAUGAUCACUGGCGUUCUGCAUUUCCUAUGAACAUUAUCUGAAGGACACUGAGGAGGACACUUUGGCCCCACUUUAUAUGGGAAAAUAUGAAGCAUCAGAAAACUGAAAAGACAAAAUGCCUGAAAGUGGACAGCUGAUCCUGUGGCAUGACUUUCCUCUCCAAAAACCUGCAGGUGAGAUUUUUUCUUUUACUAGAAAAUUCUCUUGCCACAUACUUUUGUCAUGAGCAUUCCUGAGAUUACAGCAC